CACCGCGGUUAUACGAGAGGCCCAAGUUGACAAAAGCCGGCGUAAAGGGUGGUUAAUAGAUUAACAACUAAAGCCGAACACCUUCAAAGCUGUCAUACGCCUCGAAGGCAGGAAGCCCCCUUACGAAAGUGGCUUUAAACCUAUGACCCCACGAAAGCUAGGGAA
rnacentral:rRNA from 1 species